rnacentral:lncRNA from 1 species
UUUAGGGGCGUACCCACGGCAUAUGGAGGUUCCCAGGCUAGGGGUCGAAUCAGAGCUACAGCUGCCGGCCUACACCACAGCCACAGCCACACGGGAUCCAAGCCAUGUCUGCAACCUACGCCAUAGCUCACGGCAACGCCACAUUCUUAACCCACUGCAUGAGGCCAGGGAUCGAACCCGCAUCCUCAUGGUUCCUUUGUUACCACCGAGCUACAACUUUACCACUUCAAAUAAAAGAAAAAAAAAUUAUUUUUUUUCUUUUAUUUGAACUCCUGCUUUACCACUUCAAAUGAUGAUGUUUCUAAGAGGCAGCUGACUCCUGUACCGAUACGCUUACCUUCCGCCCCACACUUAUCUGUGUUGGAAUCCUGGCUCUGCUGGGUGAGUUGGGGCUUUACUUCUGUUUCUUCAUGUGCAAAGGGAGGAUGUUUCUUUAUGUGCAAAGUUACCCCAUAAGGUUGUUGGGAAGAAUGGAUUAAUAUAUAUAUAAUGCCUCUAAGCACCUAGGUGUAACAAGACUCUGUGUAUGUACUAGCUCAUAUGGCUUUAUCUCUGCACUUUUUUUCUCUCCUUAAAUGAAUCCUCAAUAUAUUAGCUGUCAGCUAUAUUCUCACCUUGAACACUCCAGGGAAUAAAGUACAGACUCUAGGGAUACAAGCCCUCGGCCCUUCUCCCCACCACCCCGCUGACCUAACCCAGGAUCUGCCUCUCAGUCCAGGACUAAAACAUGGUGGAGGACAGAAUUCAUACCAUUCCGUGAAGCCUGUAUAGAAGCCCUCAGCCGGCCCCCUCCAGGGGAAGCUCCUUCAAGCCAGGCAAGGUGAGCCCUUUCUGAGCAGCCUCCCAGAAACAUUAACGCUAAAUUGAAAGCUCUCUCCGAGGGACGCACUGCAUUGCAUGCUGGCUGUUACUCUCCCCCUUAACCACCUCACCCCUACCUGCACCAGUGCGUGAGAAUCACCUGAUGAGAAUGCAGAGUCCUAAACCCACCCUGAGAUUCUGACUCACUAGCUGGGGUAGGACCCCAGGAGAGGCCACAGACCACACUCUGGGAAGCCUGCUAUUCAAGGCAGAGAUGUCUCACCUUGUGCCAGCUAUUAGAGCAGGACCUUUGUACCUCCAGCACAUGACAACCAGACCUUGCACAUAGUAGCUGCUUAAUAAAUUAUCAUUACAUGAAUGAGAGUGGGAGGAAUAACACCGGUCCUUGAUGGGUGAGAAUAACAAUCUCUUGCCCAACAUCCAGAGAGGUGCAAAUCCAGCAAAGAAAGCUCACAAGUCCAAAUUUUUAAGAGGUUUUCCUCUGAAGGAGUCCCAGGUACAAAGAAUGUGCAAGACAAAGUUUCAACUGCUACAUAUAAUUGUUUAAAUCAUCCUUCAUCCUAGAUAGAGAGAUUCUUUUGACUGAAGGGAGCCAUGGGUCAUUAUUGCCUUAAGCUGGUCACUGACAUCUGAACUAAUUAACUUGUCACGCAUUAAUUGCAAAGUGACUGAAAAAAACAAGCAGCUUCUGUGUUCCUGAUCUUUUUUCUCUGCUUUCUUUGUAGUUUACUUUCUAAGUAGUAAGGCCCUUCUGCGAGAGUUUGUGAUGCUCCGAAUCUCAAUUAAAAUACCAAAUGGCAUUCGUCUUAACCAAAAACACACUUUGAUGUUUAAAAGUCAUUCAAAUUCGUCAUGAUAGUUAUCCUCACCGAUCUUUAAGGACUCAACACACGUUCAUGGUAUCUUUCUGCCAAAGGAGAAGAAGCAUCGCUAAAAUGACCAAAAGUACCUCUUGUCUUCCAGGCUAUUACUUACAUGUGUGUGCGCGCCCUCAGCAGAUUUCAUUGAAAAGAACCUGAUCCUAAAGCUGUUCUUUUCCAGUCAGCAGUGCCGACUCCAGGGUCCAUUAUUAUCGCCAAUACAUCAUUUCGAAUCACUUAACCUUUCUGCAUUCUGUAUAUCCAAAAAACUGAGACCAGUGAAUGAACAAUGCUUGUCAGUUCUUUUGUGGGGACACAGGAAAAAGAAAUGAGGUAAUGCUAAGCAAGUCCAGCUCUAUCUAAUCGCAUGGACAAAGGAGCUAUGCAAAACAUCUCCUUACUGGCUGGACAGAUGGGGCUUCUGAAAAUUGAAAGAUGAGCAUAGAAAGUAAGGAGAAGAGAUGCUCAAAGUCUAAGUCCACAGAAGAAAGAGCCGUGACUGGAUAGGGGAAACUGAAGGAAUAAAGCUAAGAUGAAGGGCUCACUAAGAUGAAGCAUUCAUAGGGAAAAGGCACGCCAAUGGAAAAGUAAUUCUCACAAGUUGCUAACAAAAGCAAUUUAGUGUAUUAACUUUCAGGCAAACGCCAGGUAUUCUAAAGUAAGCUUUGAUGGGAAGGUUAAUUUGUCAUGAUUCUAUUUUGGCAGGGAGGGCAAGGCAGAGGAGAGGAACGCUAGUUACACAGCUCAUGGUGAAAACGCAGGAUUGCUUGCACUCUACUGAUUCUUUUUUCGGACUGAGUCAACCUGAAAAGUAGGCAUUUCUGGGAUUAUAGCCAGGCCACCAUGACAGGAAGCUGUGACCCCAGAAAUUCCAGGUGGGUCUCCAUAAAAGCUAAUACCAGAAUAACAUAAUGCCCCCUCUCAGUUGGGAAAAAAGUAAUUAUUACUGCUCAGAUGUGAAGGGGAGAAAAGCAGUACUUUUUAUUGAGCAUCUAUUUGCCAGGGGCUUAUCUGAUGGACUUUGCUUGUGCUAUUUCAUUUAAUGCUCAAAUAUGAACAAAGUUCACUAUACGGAGCAUAUACUAUGUGGUAAGCUCUGUACCAAGUGUUUUGAUUUUAUUUCAUCUUUAAACAAUCAGGAAUCAGAUAUUGUUAUUAUUCCUGAUAUACAAAUGAAGAGAAUGAGGCUCCGAAUAAAGGCAAAUAACCUGCCCAAGGUCAUGUGAUUAAUAAAAGAUCCAUGGAUAAACUACAGGUCUAUGUGACUUCAACUCUCAUAUUUAUACUAAACCUAUAUGCAGAAAGUAAAAAAAUCCAAUAAUUAUUUUCUAUUAAAAUAUAAAUCUUGGAAGUUCCCUUUUGGUACAGUGGGUUAAGAAUCCAAUGUUGUCAGCUGUGGCUCAGGCUACAACGGCAGUGUGGGUUUGAUCCCUAGCCCAGGAACUUCCACAUGCUGCAGAUGUGGGGGGGGGAAUUUAUAUAUAUAUAUAUAUAUAUGUAUAAACAGAUACAGAUAUCUUAACAUUUCAGUUCCCUCCUCUUUUUCUUUUUCUUUUUCUUUUUUUUUUUUUUUUUUGUCUUUUUGCUAUUUCUUUGGGCCGCUCCCGUGGCAUAUGGAGGUUUCCAGGCUAGGGGUCAGAUCGGAGCUGUAGCCUCCGGCCUACGCCAGAGCCACAGCAACGUGGGAUCCGAGCCGCGUCUGCAACCUACACCACACCUCACGGAUCCUUAACCCACUGAGCAAGGGCAGGGACCGAACCCACAAUCUCAUGGUUCCUAGUUGGAUUCGUUAACCAUUGCGUCACGAUGGGAACUCCCUUCAGUUCCCUCCUCUUAUACUUAUGUAUUUAUAAUGAAAAAGAAAACACUCUAAAUAUCCAUAAAUAGGGAACUAGAUAAAUUAUGUUACAUUAAAAUGCAAUAAGAUCUUUUUUUUUUUUUUUUUGUCUUUUUAGGGCCGCACCCGCAACAUAUGGAGGUUCCCAGGCUAGGGGUUGAAUCGGAGCUGUAGCUGCCGGCCUACGCCAGAGCCACAGCAACACCAGAUCUGAGCCACGUCUGUGACCUACACCACAGCUCACGGCAAUGCUGGAUCCUUAAUCCACUGAGUGAGGCCAGGGAUUGAACCAUAACCUCUUGGUUCCCAGUCAGAUUCAUUUCCGCUGCGCCACGACAGGAACUGCUAAAAUGCUAUAAGAUCUUUUAAAAGAAUAAACCAACUGUAUGUACUUAGACUAAUCAAAAAGUUGAUGUGGGGAACUUCUUUGUACACAAUCCCAGGCAAUAAAUGCAAAAAAGAAAUGGAAAAUCAUUUUGCAACCGUUAAUGGAAUAAUGGACUGAGGCAGUAAUAAUCUCUGGAUGCCAAAAACUGUAGAUAAAAUGUUCAUGGGAAACUUUAUAAUGGCAGAGCAGGUUCA